UAACUUCGUAGUGGAUGGAAAGACUAUGUUUCUGGGAAAACAAGGCUGUUGGUAUACUCAAGGUGAUUUCUGUCCACCCUUUGUGAUCUUUAUGCCACAAACAGUGGCACUGAGGUCGUUGUCAGUUACCUGUGUGCAACGCAAGUGCACCUGGAGGGCACUUUAAACCAGCUGUUGUCAAGUCUUGCACUGUCACACGGGCAAGAUGAGCCUUUGGAGAAAAGUUACUCCUACCUUCUGCCCAGGCAACAGGCUCUGCUAAGGCAGGGACUGAUUUUGUCUUCUAAACCUUUGAAAUUGAGUUUAAAUUGGUUGAGGCCAGCAUUGUCUUUGUUCUGUUUGUGCAGAGCCCAUCACAGCAAACACCAGCCUAUGAUCUAGCUCUAAUGCGUUGUGGUGGUGUGGAAGGCCAGAUAUCCAUAUCAAAAGUUAACUAUUUCUUACUGAAAACCCCUGUCAUCACCUUGUACAUGUUUGAAUUUUGGUUUAUGUCAGUCAUGGGUGACUCUUUGGAGUAUACAUAACUCUCACAAGAUCAUUCACUGAGGCUGCCAGUUAUUUCUGUUUGCAGAUGACCCUGUUAAAUACUGCACCUCUCACUAUCACAAUCUUUCAACCCUAUCAAAAUCCUCAUGAUUAUUUCCUGGAGUUUGUUACUCCUGUAUUAGCAUGACUGAUACAAGUGUAUUAUUAGAUUUCCCUUUUUUAAUCCAACCUGAGCACCAGUAUUUGAGGAGCAAACAGGUAACCUCACUGAUUACACAAGAAGUUGCUUGUGCACAAGCAGCAUUUUAUUUCUUAUUCUCUUUGGUAUUUUAACAAGGGCAAUCAACUUAUUUCUGCAUUUUCUUGUGAGAUUUUGCCUUCUGGGUAAAGAGCAUCCUUUAUCUCUCCUUCUCCCCCUUUUCCCAGACAACCUUCUGCUGUGCUGGGAAGAUGGAAUGUAUCGGUGAUAUCCCUUUCAGAAAAUAUGUUCAUCAUAUAUCACAAGUAUUGUCAUUAUGAUGUAUUAAUAUAAUGCAUCAUCAGAGAGCUGUCAGGGUGAAGAUUUAUUACCCUAAAAUAAGUAAUAGUGAGACACUGAGGAAUGGGUUGACAGAUUUUUUGUUUAUUUUUCUAAAUUAAGGACUUUUAAAGUAAGUUUUAAAAUCUCUUACCUUCAUGAAGUAGUAGAGUUGGGAGGCUCACGGAAGAGAGGACUUGAAUCAAAAACACCACAACUCAAGAGACCUCAUAGAAUAAGAAUGUAAUAAUUUUUCUCCCCUAGUAGUUUCUAUGAAGUCUGCAAAGUUUAAGUUUCCAACAUGGAUGAGAACUAGUGGGCAGCCAAAUUCAUUUUAGUCAACCUGAACUGGACUUUAUUGUUUCUCCUUUGAAGAAAACAGAGCCACCAAAGCAUGAAGACUUGAGCUAAAAUAGGCAAACCGGCUUAAAAUGGUCUAAAAAUAAUUACAUUUUAGUACAAAAGGCUAUUUCCUUAUCAGGUGUGUCCAGUGGACUUACCAUAAACCUGAUAAAAACGCCCUGAAAUCAGGGAGAGCUUUUCACCAGGUUUGCACAGACUUUGGAUCAAGGCCCUUUUUUGCAUCAUGUGGUGAAGCCAUGAAACUUGGCACAUUUAUAGCGUUGUAACAUAAAGCCAUCUGUGUACAAGUACAAACUUUUCCUUAUUGCCAAAGUGCUUAAUGUAAUUACAAUCAGGCUUGCUUCCCCUCUGCUCAGUUCAUCCAUAUGCUGAGAUGGAUGAAAACUUGCAUGGUAAAGAAUCCCACAGCAUCUGAGUUUGCGUGCCGCUUACAGCAGUGUGCAUUGCUAACCUUGUAAAUCUUAGGCACUUUUGCAUUUUAGGAACACACAUAAAGUUACAGACUGACUUACAGGAAAAUUGGCAACAGAAAUAUGCAAAAAAAUUCAGCCUGGAUUCUUUUUUUGCUAACUAACUCCACACGGCACCUGACUUAGGAGCUCAGUUGCCCUCGCUUCCCUGUGUAGUCGAUGAGGAGUCAAGAGGUGUCACAGAGUUUGGAUGCCCAAGACAGGAAUUGCCUUCAGGAGGUGACUUUUACUCUUUGAUGGCUGGAGAAUGAAUACAGAGGUCCUGUUUAGCUUGUUCACUGCUGUGUUGCAUUAAUUUUGAGAGGUGGUAAGCAUCUGCUAAGUAGUUGCUUCAUCUCAAAAUUGAAUCUGUGUUGACUUCAACUGUGUUCAAAUGCAAUGUUAUCCCAUGGCAUUUAUUGUAUCCAUGCAUUUCCUGUAUCAUGAUAUUUGCAUUCAGUUUCUUUAAUACUGAAUAUAAUUUUGGUCAGUGUAAGUUCAAUACCAAGGUUGCUUAUAGGUUAAUGAAUGCACUGUGCUUGCUGCUGACUGACGUAAUUACUGGAUAGGUGGUACACUGAACUUGACCCUACAGCCCACAGACAUGUACUUGACUUUAUCAGCAGGGAGGGCAUAUCCAAAAGGAAUAUUAACAUUAAAAAGAAACAUAUGCAGUGGAAUGCAUUUGCAGGCACAGGGAAUAAGUUUUCAGGGAAAAAAAUUGCUGAAGGCAAAAGGUGGUUAUGCCAGAAAAGUCCACAAAUUUCUCUUCCUAAAGGAGAAUAAUGAUAAGCUACUUAAUUUUGGUCAAUUUUAGGAAGAUAGUUUACUUAAUUACCUAAAAUGUAGGUGUGAAAUGAGUGCCAAACUUAUGCAAAUUACCUCUACCUGUAGUCCUUUAAAAACUCAGCUGCUAUCAAUAUAGGAAAAUCCUUUCCUCUUCCAUAAACCUCAGAAUGGUUUAAUCAUGUAUAGUGACACAGAUACAUUGGCUCAAGCCAAAUUUAUUUGGAGAUGUUAUCAGAAAUGGGUAUGUGCAGAUGCUCAUAAAGCACCUGCACUUUGCAAAUGCCAAAUAACCUGUUUCUGCACUUAGAGAAAGCUUUACUGGCUCUUCAUUAGGCUGUGUAGGUAUGUGCUUAUGGUUAAAAAUGCAGUCUUCUGUAUGGACACUAUAUCUCCAUCUCAAAUCUAGCAGAGAUUUGCUUUUCUAAACUGAGAUUUAAGAAAAGCACAAAUUAUGAAUAGUUGUAACCAGUCAAAAAUUUUUAUAGCGUGUGCUUGUGAUCAACUAAUCUGAUUAAUGGAAGAAGGGGGGGGCCUGAUCCUCUGUCAGAAGGAUGAGCUUGUAGGAUCACCUUAUGAAACAUAGGAAGAUUUGUGUUAGUAUCUGCAGUCUGCUGAUAAUAGUAUAUUUCCUAAUUUUGUGAUGCCAAAAGAAAGGACUUCUGACUCAAUAUGCAAGUGUUAGGAGGCAAAUAAUUCUUUCAUUCGAAGAUUUCUAUGGGAUGUUGUCACAUAUGCUACAAAUCAGAACUUUAAGUGUUUGUGGUGCAUAGAUGUUGGAGUUAUAAGGGGUUUGCCCAAAAUCCUGCCCCCUCUGUGAGUAGGGUUUCACUCAGAUUUAGUAUUCGUCAUGGCUGCUGCUCAGAUCACCAGUUAAAACAACCUUAGGUCAGUACAUUUUAAAGGAGGUAAAACAUCUUGAAGAGACCAUAUGAGAUCUAUCACAGAAAACCACUGAUAACUCCACAUCUUAUUAGCUUCAAUUAAGUAUUUCCAUAGGGAAUCAUGGAACUGUUUAGAGUCAUGAUGACACAUACACACACUUUGUUCCAUCCAAAGAAAUAAUCUGUUUUCCAGAUUUCCAAAUAGCCAAGUUAUUUUGUUAUUGUUUGGGGUUGGUUUUUUUCCUCUGCUUUCAAGAGAAAUAAUUUAUAAGAACUUAUCUUGAGCUUGCUACAGAUUUAAAAGGAGAAAAAAGUUUUCUCCUGUCCGACUUUUAAAUUAUAUGCAUGACCAAAGAUAAAUAUGUUUUUUAUUUAUAACUGUGGAUAGAUGCCAAACAAAGCCUUUGAUAUGACACACCGCUGCUGUAGUAGAGGAGUACUUAAAACAGUUCCAGUCAAGUUAGGCCCCAAGACUUUUCAUGCAACUUCAUGCAAAAUGGCUAAGACCUUUCAUUUAUUAUUUCUUUUCUUUCCUUUUGAACAUCCUCAAAGGUUAGAAGUGCAACAUGCUUAGAGGAUGCCAGGCUUCUUCCUGUCGAGCUGAGAUGGCCUGAAAAGCACAUUGAAACACGGGGAAACUGCAGCUACCACAGAUUGCAGAUGAAGGUUUUUUUCUUUGCAGGCCGUAGAUCUCUCCUGCCCUUCCCUGCGUGGUUAGUAACAGCUAGAUGAAGGUUAUGGAUGGAGACUGGCAAAGCAAAGGAUUGGUGUGCUGUUUUGAGACUGGGAUGAAUGGGCUUUGACAAUACUGCUGAAUAGGAGUACUUGUGGAGCUAAUACAGUUUGUAAUUGUCAGAGCUGAAAAGUUAAAACAUGGUUAUAAACCGUGCCUAGGAUCAGCUUAUGUCAGCUUUAAAUGAUUUAAAAGUCUAGUGUCUGGAGCUGCAUCUUACUUGCCUGCAAAACUCCUUAAAGAAGACUUACAGAAUGGCAUAAGCAUGUCUCUCCUUUCUUGUGUAUUUAUUGUGAAAAGUAACCCUUUGUUUAGCUGACAGGAGACAGGUUUUUAAGACAGAUGUGAAGCAAAGACUUCCAGAUAAGUCGAAAAAUAUGGAAUUUUCCAGUUUAAAUACAAGGAGACAAUUGCCUGGUAACAGUAACUUUUAGAAACUACUGUUUUCCUUUGUUUUAUGCAAGGAGAGGCUAUGAAUGGUUGGGUGCUGAUGCAUCUUGGGCAUAUGGUGGUUUUGUGCUGUGCCAGGCUUGGAACUUGGUUUUACGCGUGGAUGUGAGGAAGGCCUGUAAAGGAUGCAAACUUCUCUGAGAGGAGAUAAGGAGCAUAAGAAAGCAUCCUCUGUUACCUAGAGCCUGCCAUCAUUAGGCCUGACCCUUGGUCAUUAUCCCCUGGUAUCUGCAGCAGACAAUGACCUUUGAUGACACUGCACAACAGCAUGCAAAAGAAAUGCCUGCCUUUGAAUUUUGGCUCCCGAAUGCCAAACGUAGGAGCUUCUUCUCCAUGCUGUUUCCAGCCUUCAUUUAUGCAAACACAUGUCCAAAAAUUUAAAUGCUACUAAAUAAUGCUUAGCAACACUGUUUGGGUACUAAAGAGGUUCUAAUCUAGGUUCUAACUUUGCUAGAAGUAGCUCUGUCUUCCCAUCAUCUGAGAGUCUGGAGUAGGCUGGAAGCAACUAAUUUACCAUGUAAUAAGAUAGGUUCCUGUUGACACAAUUCAAGGGCAAAACUAUUAAGUCAUUAGGGCUAAUGUUGUAACAUUCUGAUACAAAGGCAUGGCCUGGGCCUUUCAGAUGUACCUCUGACCUUUUGAGGAUUAAGUUUCUUCGCAGUUUUUUUUUGGUAUUUGAAAUCUGUCUUUUUUUUUUUCCUUCGGCUUCACAGGCAUUGAUCUUUGGCCUUGUGCUAGUACAGCUUGUAGAGCAGCAUCUGUAGUCCUGAUUUGUCCCAGUUUUAGCAAAGAAAGUAAGGAUAGAAAAGUCAACACAUUCUUAAUCCCGCAAUACUAAAACUGCAUCGUGUAUUCCUUGGCUCAGCACUGCCCAUGUCACAGCUUGGUUCAAAGGACUGCUGGUAAAAGCAAUCCAGGGAAAUAGGGGUGGCUCUCGGGAUUCUUCCACAAAAUAGAGAAGCUGACAAUUGCUUAAAACUAUCUAGAUGUCAUUUAAAUAGAUACAAUACAAAUGUGUCUUGCUGCAGCCUUCUGAUAUUCUGAUAAAAUAACUUUUCUCAAAUCUACUGGCAUUGCCAGUAACCAGAUGAUUAUUUCAACCAUUGAAUUCUGCAGCUCAGCACCAGGUCUGCACUUGUUUCACUUCUGUUGUGUGGGCAAGGGAAGUGCAAUGGGAACUCAAAACUCAUCCCGCUGUCAUACUUACUAUCUCUCAGGAUUGGUUCACUUAAUGUCAACUUCAUUUACUGCUGAUAUUUUUGGCUUUAUGCUUUUCUUUUAUGAGUCACUCUCUGAAAUAAGGAGCCACAAAGUGUUCUCCCCUGGACCUGUGCUGGGUUGUGUAUCCAUUUGCCACCACUCUGAAGGAUAACUGUUCUCCAGGUGAGAACAGCCUUACCCAUAGGCAAGCUUCACGACCUUCAUUGUAACAAACCUUUUUUUGUUUUCCAGAUGCAUGAAGAAAACAAAUCAAAGGACACCUCAAGCUGUUGCAUAAGUCUGAUGUCUGAAACUUUUGACCAAAAUGUUUUAGAACACAGACAGGCCAAGAACUGACAUCAAGUCCUGAGUGUCGUUGCCAGAGCUAAUCACAGUAAGACAUAUUUUAACAAGGAAGGUUUAUUUUGCAUGAUGCUUUUGUUAAUUAUAUAGGAAUGCAUACAAUACUGUGGAGCAUUUAACAAAAAAAUUUGAGAAUGUUUUAAAUUUAAUUUCUAAGUUGUUUUUAAGCUCAUAUUGCUUAUGCAUGUAGCUUGUCUUUUUGAAAUGCUGGAAAGGGUUCUUCCUCUUGAGGAAGAAUUAGCAGACUAUUCUUUACAAAGAACAUUGGGAAAGCAAGGAAUCCAAUGAGUUUAUGGCAAUAAGAUGUGGAAAGCUAUAUUUCAUUAAUUUAUGAAUUUUAUUUUUGCAUUUUUCUUAUUUUAUUUUUGCUCUCAGUCUUUUUAAAUAUGAUGGUGAUUCGGAAAUGUAUUUCAUGAAUUUCUGUUCGAUUUUAUUUUUGCAUUCAGUGACUUUAAAUACAACAGUGAUGGGGGAAAGAGAAGUUGCAGCAAAAAAAAAAAAAUUCUGCUCCUAAGACUGUACAUGCCAGCAUAGGUCUGGAAUGGAUGCUCAUGGCUGCAUUAAUAAACUCUGACUGUGGAGGUUUCAAACAUGAAUUCUGACAGACCCUUCACUAUGACAAUACUAGUGGGAGUCACAAUAAUAUCAUCUGCUGCUGAACAUCGCUAGUAUGUGAGCACUGUUGUGCCAAAGGUUAAUAUGCCAGUUUUAUUUCCUUCUCUCUACAGCUAUAAUUUAAAUGAGUUGCACACAUAAGUGAUGUUAUAUGCAUAGGGUUUUGCAUUAAGUUUGCUAUGUCAGAUUUGUUUAUAAAAAUCAUAUUUUGAACCACUUGCCCAGGGGCUCCGUUCUGGGGAGCUGCAAGCUGAUUUCUUUUAAAGAGGCAGUUUUCAUUUUCCGUGGAUUUUCAGUAGAGAUUUUGGAACUCUGAACAGGGAGCUCAGUUUUAAAUUCAGCACUUGCCCAGGUUUACAAUUAGGUUUAAUUACUUAGCAACAGAGAGUCUAAUCUAGUUUUACAUGUGUGCCACAUGACCCUUUCCGUACCUUACUGGGAUUGGAAGGGCCCCCUGCCUCUCUUGGGGAAAAUUGCUUCCAACAUUUUGGAGACCGUUUACAAUGUUUUUGUUCUUAUGCUGCAAAGUUAACAUUGCCCAUAAACCUAAUAGUCACACAGUAGUUAAUAAGGGGCAGAAAGUUUUAUAGUCUUUUCCGCAGUUGUUAAAAUCCUGCUACUGUAGUUCAGUCCCAGCCACACAAAACCUACCAGUUGUGAAAAAUAGGAUGCUCUAUGUGUUGGUUUAUUCUUGGAAACCAAUGGAAGAGAGGACCUUUCCUGAGCAUCUAGCUGAACGUAAUGAACUUGGGGAUUAUUUAAAUUGCUUGGCUUGUAAUAUAAACACUCGAGGGCUUGCCAGCAGUGUACCUUCAGGAUGUGUGACUUUUCUAAAAAAAUCAUUUGGGAUUUUUUUUUUUUCACAACCCAUUGCAAUUAGUAGCACUAUGGCAAAGGAUGAUUUAUUAAAUUGCCUUUCAGUUAGAGGAAAUAGAAACCAUUAAUGAUGUUGCACAUGCAUUUUUAGUCAGGUUCAGCAAGAAUAAUUUUCUAGCUGUCUUUGUAUGUUAUGUAAACUAAGAACAUUCCCAGGGUACCAGCUGGAUCAUCCUUUGGGCCCUGUAGACCUUCAGAGUGGUUUUGACCUUCUCCUGCUGGAAAAGAUGCUGUGAAAAUGAGGUGCUUCUCGAAGUUAGUGAGACUUCCAGACUCAAACAUGAACUGAAAUGGGCUCAGAUGCAACUAGGCAUUGACUACUAGUACCCUCUGGUAUUUACUUCUGUUCCUUUACCAUGUGAACAGGGAGCAGGGAAGGCUAGAGCUGGGACAGAGUGGUCCUUGGAAGAAGUGGAAGACAGGAACAGCUUUGAUAAGGAAUGGUUCAAAAAUUUUUGUGAAAGGGAAUUUUCAAUGCCUCUGUUAAUAACUUAACAGUUACAUAAACAAACAAACAAACAACGACAAAAACUUGCAACCAUUAAUAAUCCAGAAUAUUUUUCUCAGAAGGUGCCUGUUCUGCUAGUACAUGGAAAACUAGUAUAGAGAUUAGUACGCAGUAGUGAGGAGUGGAGCCAGAGAGAAAUAAAAAAAAGCUUAUUUUUUAAAAAAUUAAAUACUAUGGACACCAUGAGCUCUUAAGCACAAUGAUACUACAUGCUGUCUAAAAGAGCAGAGUUCUAAUUACUUGGCUGCCAUAACUUUACUUCAGUGCUUAAAAUGUGAUUUCCUUUAGAUUUCAUCUUCUGCCUGUCUUGCCUGGGAUUGCAGAUCACUUUCUAUUACAUUUCUAAAAUGGAUUUUUCCACAGAUUACCAGUGUGUGCUUUGUUACUUACAGCUUAACAUUGUUCUCCCCUGCCAUCUCUGAGAAAAAGGAUGUGGGUUAUCUUGGAUAAGCUUGGCACUACCAACACAUAGCGUUUUCCAUCCUCUGAAAACUGUGUGUAGUCGAUGGAGUAGGAUUCUGCAGGUUUGGUGCUCAAUUUAGUGGGAUUUUUAAAUGCAGGGAACAGAUAGUUUAACAAUGAAGGGUGUGAAGGGUGUGAUGUGUUAGUGGUGGGCAGAUGCUUCGAGGGGAAAAGCCCAUGAACAGGGUUAGAGCUCUACACUUACUUCCCUGUGCGCUGUGCCAAAGUGUUACCCAAAUACCAUUCUAUAAUAGAAGUCUAAAAAGGGAAUGGUACUAUUCAUUAAGUAAUUUCUGACCCAUUGCCUGACUGCACUACUGGAUUAAUUUUGAAGCACACAUAUGGGAGUACCCUUGUAGUUAUCUGUCUAAAAAUACAGCACUACCAUUUCUGUGUUGGUUUUUAAAGAGUGGUUGCAUAAAACUUUAUCAAGAUGCUUAAUACACUGAGCCAUGAUCUCCUUGGGCUGGAAAAAUAGCAUUACAGUGGUUGCAAUGCCUUCAAGGUCUGGCACACUCCGUGCUCUGGAUGUGAUUCUGCACAUGUUUGAAAUUCCCAUAGCUGACAGGCUGGAUGCUAAUGGAGUGGGAAGGGAUAGGAGGUAGAAGCAGGUCCCUGUGCCUAACUCACCCCACACAGCCUGGCUUCCUUGCUCUUUGGGGCUCUGCACACCUGAUCUGGUGCCAAACACUUUCUGCUCAACCGUAGGGGUAAGCCAGAACAUCCUCUUUGUUGUCUUGAAGAAGCUGUGGGGAGAGCAGAAGAACUCCUUCCCUGACGUGCUCCUGGAUUCCCUAAAACUGUGUACAGCCCUUCAGUACAGGUCUGUCCCAAAGGUACAGUCUGCUGCUGUCUGACAGGCUUCUCCGAUCAAGAACUCAAGUGUUGCUCUGAAAAAGAGACUUGUCUUUGUCUGGUUUCUCAUAGGAAGAUACAAGCUGUCACGAUCCCUUGCCAAUCACAUGAGAACUGACCUAGGGAGAACAUCAACUGAAGAAGAAAACGUGGAGACGUGACCUGACAUUCAAAAUGAAACACUAAGACUGAAACGAAUAAUCCACCACUUGUGAUUUACUUUUUCAGUAUUUUUUUUUUUUAAAGCCAGUUCUCUGCUCUUUGAUCUGCUGCCUUGGGAUUUCUGAGUGCUUUAUCUUUCCAUGUGACAGUCACCUGCCAGUGAUGAUUUCGGAAAUGAGCAUUUCUCUACGAGUAGGAAACACAGGCGACUUGAACUCACAAGAAAGAAGUCAUAAAGUAUAUUACUCUCUAUAAAAAAUGGAAGACCUAGUUAUAGAAAAGACACCAUUUUUUGUGCCUUUCACUUGUUACCUUUCCCUGCUUCAGUAAAAGUUUCAGGUUGUCUUCUGACUGGAAAACAAAGAGUCAAAAAGUCCUGUGGCCUUUCUGCCCAUUACACUGCAGGGAAGACAAACCGCCUGGUCAUAGGACGAAUGUUGUCUUGGGUCACCAUCAAGAUCCUGACCUGCCUAGCUGAUGUGACACAAGGAAAGAGAAGGUCUUAAAAGACUUUUUGGAGUGGUUACUUUACAGCACCAGCAUUGUUACAUGUAUCAAUCUCAGGAAGAGCUCCUACUGAUCCUUCCUUCUGGAGUGACCUCACACUUUACAGCCCUCUGAACCAUCAUCACAUCCUCACCUGGCGCUGUGCGCCGAAG